rnacentral:rRNA from 1 species
CCUGAUGCAGCCAUGCCGCGUGUGUGAAGAAGGCCUUCGGGUUGUAAAGCACUUUCAGUCGUGAGGAAGGUAGUGUAGUUAAUAGCUGCAUUAUUUGACGUUAGCGACAGAAGAAGCACCGGCUAACUCCGUGCCAGCAGCCGCGGUAAUACGGAGGGUGCGAGCGUUAAUCGGAAUUACUGGGCGUAAAGCGCAUGCAGGUGGUUUGUUAAGUCAGAUGUGAAAGCCCGGGGCUCAACCUCGGAAUAGCAUUUGAAACUGGCAGACUAGAGUACUGUAGAGGGGGGUAGAAUUUCAGGUGUAGCGGUGAAAUGCGUAGAGAUCUGAAGGAAUACCGGUGGCGAAGGCGGCCCCCUGGACAGAUACUGACACUCAGAUGCGAAAGCGUGGGGAGCAAACAGGAUUAGAUACCCUGGUAGUCCACGCCGUAAACGAUGUCUACUUGGAGGUUGUGGCCUUGAGCCGUGGCUUUCGGAGCUAACGCGUUAAGUAGACCGCCUGGGGAGUACGGUCGCAAGAUUAAAACUCAAAUGAAUUGACGGGGGCCCGCACAAGCGGUGGAGCAUGUGGUUUAAUUCGAUGCAACGCGAAGAACCUUACCUACUCUUGACAUCCAGAGAACUUUCCAGAGAUGGAUUGGUGCCUUCGGGAACUCUGAGACAGGUGCUGCAUGGCUGUCGUCAGCUCGUGUUGUGAAAUGUUGGGUUAAGUCCCGCAACGAGCGCAACCCUUAUCCUUGUUUGCCAGCACUUCGGGUGGGAACUCCAGGGAGACUGCCGGUGAUAAACCGGAGGAAGGUGGGGACGACGUCAAGUCAUCAUGGCCCUUACGAGUAGGGCUACACACGUGCUACAAUGGCGCAUACAGAGGGCAGCCAACU